rnacentral:rRNA from 1 species
UACGUAGGGUGCGAGCGUUAAUCGGAAUUACUGGGCGUAAAGCGUGCGCAGGCGGUUGGUUAAGUCUGAUGUGAAAGCCCCGGGCUCAACCUGGGAAUGGCAUUGGAAACUGGCUGGCUAGAGUGCGGCAGAGGGGGGUGGAAUUCCGCGUGUAGCAGUGAAAUGCGUAGAGAUGCGGAGGAACACCGAUGGCGAAGGCAGCCCCUUGGGCUGACACUGACGCUCAGGCACGAAAGCGUGGGGAGCAAACAGG